rnacentral:rRNA from 1 species
GAUGAACGCUGGCGGCGUGCUUAACACAUGCAAGUCGAACGAAGCACUCUAUUUGAUUUUCUUCGGAAAUGAAGAUUUUGUGACUGAGUGGCGGACGGGUGAGUAACGCGUGGGUAACCUGCCUCAUACAGGGGGAUAACAGUUGGAAACGACUGCUAAUACCGCAUAAGCGCACAGUAUCGCAUGAUACAGUGUGAAAAACUCCGGUGGUAUGAGAUGGACCCGCGUCUGAUUAGCUAGUUGGUGGGGCAACGGCCUACCAAUGCGACGAUCAGUAGCCGACCUGAGAGGGUGACCGGCCACAUUGGGACUGUGACACGGCCCAAACUCCUACGGGAGGCAGCAGUGGGGAAUAUUGCACAAUGGGGGAAACCCUGAUGCAGCGACGCCGCGUGAACGAAGAAGUAUUUCGGUAUGUAAAGUUCUAUCAGCAGGGAAGAUAAUGACGGUACCUGACUAAGAAGCACCGGCUAAAUACGUGCCAGCCGCCGCGGUAA